rnacentral:rRNA from 1 species
GAUGAACGCUGGCGGCGUGCCUAAUACAUGCAAGUCGAGCGAAUGGAUUAAGAGCUUGCUCUUAUGAAGUUAGCGGCGGACGGGUGAGUAACACGUGGGUAACCUGCCCAUAAGACUGGGAUAACUCCGGGAAACCGGGGCUAAUACCGGAUAACAUUUUGAACCGCAUGGUUCGAAAUUGAAAGGCGGCUUCGGCUGUCACUUAUGGAUGGACCCGCGUCGCAUUAGCUAGUUGGUGAGGUAACGGCUCACCAAGGCAACGAUGCGUAGCCGACCUGCGAGGGUGAUCGGCCACACUGGGACUGAGACGCGGCCCAGACUCCUACGGGAGGCAGCAGUAGGGAAUCUUCCGCAAUGGACGAAAGUCUGACGGGGCAACGCCGCGUGAGUGAUGAAGGCUUUCGGGUCGUAAAACUCUGUUGUUAGGGAAGAACAAGUGCUAGUUGAAUAAGCUGACACCUUGACGGUACCUAACCAGAAAGCCACGGCUAACUACGUGCCAGCCGCCGCCGUAA